ensembl:lncRNA HAND2-AS1 HAND2 antisense RNA 1
GUAAAUUAGAGGGAGGCGAGGGCCUGCGGCGCCAGCGCGGGACAGGGCGGCCUGGGGCUCGCCGCUGGUCAGGCCAGGUUAGCCCAAGGGAGACCAAAGACUCCACCUUGAGCAUCGCCCUUUGGAGGCGGGCAGAGUCCGGCCGCAGGCCACAAAGCGAUCCCCACCCGAAGGACUCCACAAGGACAGUCCUUUCCUUGCUCACCGCCGACAAAGUGGUUGGGGCAGGAAGGCGAGAAGGCACAGAUCAUUCAUGGGGAUGUAUAACCGAAACCAGUCCUCUCCACCGCCUGGGGAUCUUCACUUUCGCAGUCUACGACUGCCUGUGACUCCAGAAAGACAAACUGCAGAUUGGCCAAGGUACAUCUCAGAUCAGAUCCCUCUGGGAAAAGCGCGGGAAUGCUUGGCUCUAGUAGUUAGGAGCUCUGGUGAGAGCGCCCCUAGUGCCAUUUUCCCAUCCCUGCCCUUGACAGUCCCCUUUGGUCUAAAUUCACGGUUCUAGACAGUCAAAGUCUACCUGCUGGGUGUCCACUCUCAAGCCAUAGGUUUUCAAUCCUAAAAGGGAUUAGGACCUUGGCUCAAAAUGUGGUCAACGCAGUGUUCAAAUUAGGAGGGCAGCUGGGAGAUGGCAGCAGGGGAUGAAAGUAUGACUCCUACUUCGUCCGCAACUGUGGGUCUGGCACCUCUUGACUUGCCAGUAUGCUGGCAAACAACCCAUCUCUCUUGGAGAAUCCACACUUCGUUUCUUC